rnacentral:rRNA from 1 species
UACAGAGGUCUCAAGCGUUGUUCGGAUUCAUUGGGCGUAAAGGGUGUGUAGGUGGCGCCGUAAGUCGGGUGUGAAAUUUCGGAGCUUAACUCCGAAACUGCAUUCGAUACUGCGGUGCUUGAGGACUGGAGAGGAGACUGGAAUUCAUGGUGUAGCAGUGAAAUGCGUAGAGAUCCGGAGGAACCCCAGAGGCGAAGGCGGCCCCCUGGCUCGUACCUGACGCUCAGCCACGAAAGCAUGGGGAGCGAACGGG